rnacentral:rRNA from 1 species
AACGUAGGUUCCGAGCGUUAUCCGGAUUUACUGGGCGUAAAGCGCGCUUAGGCGGUUUGGCAAGUCGGGCGUGAAAUCUCUCGGCUCAACCGGGAGAGGUUGUCCGAUACUGCUGGACUUGAGGGCAGUAGAGGGUGGUGGAAUUCCGGGUGUAGUGGUGAAAUGCGUAGAUAUCCGGAGGAACACCAGUGGCGAAAGCGGCCACCUGGACUGCACCUGACGCUGACGCGCGAAAGCUAGGGGAGCGAACGGG